GUCUGACUUCCGUUCGAAACGCCAUUGUGUUCCGGAUUGAUAACAUUAUGUCGUGGUACAAAAUAGCUAUACACCGUUUAAUUGAACUCUUCUAACUAAGGAGAUGAGAUAGGACUGAAAUCACCAAAACGCUUAGAAAAUAUGUCAAUUUUCUUCCUGUUUAAAGCUUUUAACUAACAUUGAUUAUCAGCUGUUUUGUACGGAAAACGUGGACUCUAAAUAAUAUACCGUUUCCCUGCUCUGCUGAUAUUGGCAAUACAUUUUUGUCAUGUCAUCUGCAACAGACGAUCAUACAUAUGUGGCGGAUUAUCGAUAUAGAUACAGCUAGGUAGCAAUAGCAGUGGAAGCCCGGAUUUGCAAGCAAAAUGAGGGAAAGACACGAUUCUGAAAAGGAGCAUGUUUUUCAUUUCCACACAUGCAUGUGUAUCACUAUCGACAUCUAAUGUUUUUGUGGGAUUUUGUCCAGCAGUUUGCCUUAACAGAAUUUUUUUUAUAUUUUAGUUUCAUAUUUAUGUGGAUUCCAAUAAAAAUCAUACAAACUUCA